UAAGUUUUUAAGUUAAGCAAACUAAUAGCCUUCAAAGCUAUAAAUGGAAUGAAAUCCAAAACUUGA
rnacentral:tRNA from 1 species